GUUUUCAGGUUGAAGGAGUGAUUGAUAAAAGGGGUAUCCAGCCUUACACCUCCUCCCCUCCUUACCACUGUGGAACGAAGCUCCAGACUAGUUCUUAUCAGUGAGCAGAGUGAGAAGGAGAGUGGAGAGGAGAGGAGAACAGCACAGCGAGCGAAGUGAGUUCUCACUGGUUGCAGACCUCUGGACUGUCAUUUGUCAGCUGACUGGGUUGCUGUUGCAUGAGUGAGAGAAGGAGAGACUGAAAGAAGGAGCGGAUACUGCAUCAUAAGGACAUGGAGGAGAGACAGAGAGUGACUGGCAACACUUCAGGAGAAGAAUGAUGGCCUGCUCAAACGGAACAGCGGGAAGAAGAAAGAAGAAGCUGCAAAGAAGAACAUCUAAAGAAGAUUUAUAACUGAAUUAUGGGACUCUAGUGUGUAAUUGGAAGUGAAAAUUACAAACUGUGACAUUGCUAUCCAAAAGUGCGAAAUAGUGAAAAGUCAUUCUCGAAGGACAUUGAAUUUAUUGAAAUUUUGUUUGUGAUGUUGAAAUUGUGCAUGUUUUGCUGUAAAUAAUAAAUUCUUAUGGGGUGGGGUGUCCUGUUUGAGGUAUUUUCAGGUUGAAAAGAACAAUUCAGUGAUAAGUGAUGUGUGAUCAGUGGACUCGAAUUUACUUUCAUUCACAAAGGACUUGAUUUGAUUUAUAUUUUGUUUGUGAUGUUGUUGAUAUUGUGCAUGUUUUGCUGUAAAUAAUAAAUGCCUAUGGGGUGGGUGUCCUAGUGGGGUAUUUUCAGGCAUCGCGGAGGCAGCUGGACGGACGGACCACACAGAACUUCAAUCAAGGUAAAAUUCAGCUCUCGACCAAAUUUUAACAGUUCAAUCAAGGUUUUUUUCAUAUUUUCAUCUAACCGUUUAAUUUUGAAUUCAUUUGUUUAUAAAUCUGAAUAGUUUCUUCCAAGUUCUGUGAAUUACUUAUAUCUUGAAAUUAGAAUUCAAUAAUCAAUUCUUACACUUGUGAACUUCAACUUUUGUAACUUGUGAAUGAAUCUAACGAAACAUCAAUGAUUGUCUCAUUAAUGUUUGUUGGCUUUAAUUACAUUUUUCAAUCUAUUCAAAUUCAAAUAUAUGAUUCUAAAUUUGAAUCUUCAGCAGUAUUUUCUGUAAUAUUUAUGUCUUGUUGAACUGUUCAGUUUGGUCGUGGGCGACUUGUGUGGAAUUGGUAUUGUAUGUCUGGACCAUCACCCCCUUUGUUUUUUUUCAGGUUAUAUGCUUUGAAUUCUCUGUUUUUUAUUCUCAGUUUCUUUGAAGGAGAACCUUCAGUUAGAAUUCAAUAGUGGAUUAUCCUUCGAUAAGGGUUUUUUGUUUUUUUCAGUUGUUUCUUUUUUAUUUUCAAGUACUUACCCCUGCUCCUCAUUUUUUUCAGUUAUUUAUUUUUUGUUGCUUUGGAGGCGAACCUUCAGUUCAAAUUCAAAUAUCGAAGUAUAUGUCGAUAAGGGAUGUUUUGUUUAGUUGUUUUUGAUUUUUAAAAACUUUCCUUUGUCCCCGAUUUAUUUUAGUUUGGGAAUUUUCUUCAGUUGUUCCUUUUCAUUUAUUGGAAACUAUUCUCAUCUACUUAGAAUUCCUUAUAUAUUAUUUUAAUAGAUAAAUUUCAAUUAAAUUGUAAAUUUCUGGGGUGCUGCCACACUGUUUGCUUUUUUUCAGGAGGAAAUCGUAGUCAUCAUUUAUUUAUUGUGUUUGUCUUUGUUGUGUGUUGUUGCAUCUCUCAAAAUAUUGUUAGUUAACUAUUUUCAAUUAUUUCUAUUGUAAUAAAGUUUAUACAUUGUAAAGUGUAAUUUCAUGUACUCCCUUCCUUCUCAUUGCACCAUCCAUUCAUAUUUCUAACUUCAAUUCACUUUAUUUCCUCUUUCUUUUCUCUCAAUUUCAUUUCCAACUUACUUCUUGGCUAACCCACCUCAACCUGUAGUAGGUCCACUCAUCUCUCAUCAUUAUUCAUUCUAUUAUCACCCACGCACAAGCCUAGAGCUCAUGUGGGCAUUAUCCAUCAUAUAAUUCAUUUCUUUCAAAAACUAUCAUUAUCAAUUCCUUAAUUGCUUUACUAUUUCUGAUCACCUUUCUUCUAAAUUAAUAUUUCCCUCAAUUUAUAAAUUCAUUACUCUCAAAUUGUAAACCCCUAAAUAUAAAUUAAUAUAAAAAUAAAGUUCCCAAUAUUCAGUGUAAUCUGAAUCUUUGACUAUUUGAAAAGCCGUGUCUUCUAAGAAUAAUUUUAAUCUCACUUAAUAAUAAUGAUAAUUAAAAUUUUCACUUACUUAAAGGCCACUCAAUAUAAUAAUCCCACCUUGAAGCUUUAGGUCCACUUACCUAUAAUCAUCAUUCUUCCUAUUUUACCCACACACAAGCCAGUCACUUAUGUGGGAUUCAUAUUCUGCUUAAAAAUCUAUCUUAAAAUCAUUCUAAAUCUAAAUUUCAAUUCUCUUUCAAUAAUGUUAAUUUACUCCCAUUGUAAUGUUAAUUUACUCCCAUUGUAGUGAUCACUGAAAUCAAUCAUUAGUUUCUUUACCUUAUUUCACCAUUCACCAAUAUUCUCAAGUUUAUACCUCUAGUUACCGUACUGCUUUGUCGACUCCUCAUCUCUCAUUAUCCAUCAUUCUGUCUCUCAUUCUAUUAUUGUUUGUCUCACCACCAUUACUUAAUUUAACUUGUCUCCCCCCCCCCACCUUACUUAGUAAUCCUUAGGCUGGACACAAACCGAUUAGUCAAGACAAGACUAAGUCACGUUUAGUCCUUAGACCAGUUAUAGAAUAUAUUAUAGUCUAUAACUGGUCUACGGUUUAGUCACAAUACUUCACAUAGUUGCUUAUGAAGACAUGACUAAUUGCAAUGACUAAUCAGUGUGAGUUGCGUCAUAAGCAACUAUGUGAAGUAUUGUGACUAAACGUGACUAGUCUUGUAGGCCAGUUAUAGAACAUAUUAUAGUCUAUAACUGGUCUACGGUUUAGUCACAAUACUUCACAUGGUAGCUUAUUGAGUCAUUGCAAUGACUAAUCAUUGUGAGUUGCGUCAUAAGCAACUAUGUGAAGUAUUGUGACUAAACGUGACUAGUCUUGUAGGCCAGUUAUAGAAUAUAAUAUAGUCUAUAACUGAUCUAAGGUUUAGUCACAAUACUUCACAUAGUUGCUUAUGGAGUCAUGUCUAAUUGCAAUGACUAAUCGAUGUGUGUAGCUUCAUAAGCAACUAUGAGAAGUAUUGUGUCUAAACGUGACUAGUCUUGUCUUGACUAAUCGGUGUGUGACCAGCCUUACUGACCCUAUUAUUCCUCGCAUUCCUUAGUCACUUCACUUGCCUCCCUCCCCCCCCCCCUUUGCCAUCUACAUAAAAUUAUUCCUCCCUUCCUGUCAUCUGAAUGGAUUUAUUUCAGUUGUAGUUAACUUUUUCUUUUCUCAUAUUGUUAUCUCACUUCUUGUGCACUUAUGCGUUCAAGGGGUUCUUAAUUGAAAUAAAGGGAGUUAAUGCUAAUUGAAAUAAAGGAAGUUAAUGAUAAUUGAAAUAAAGGGAGUUAAUGAUAAUUGAAAUAAAGGGAGUUAAUGAUCAAUUAUUGUUCCUAGUAUUAGCGAUAUUGUGACAGAUGCAACAGCACUAGUGUGGUAGCACUCUUAGCUUAUAUUAUAUUGUCCCCCCACCCACUCUUAUGGUCUAGAACAUGCACUUACCAAUACCAUUGAUUAUUCCUCUUCUGGAGGGGCAUCACCCUCUUCUAUUCGUAUAGAAGUGAGCAUUGUCCCUUGAGAAGGGGAACCACUCUUUUUUGCCCCCUCAUGGGAACUUUCCCUCUCCCUUCCGGGGGGAGGGAAAGCCCCCUUGUGGGAUUUGUCCCUCUCCCUUCUGGGGAGGGUAAACUGUCACCUGGCUCUGAGUGGUCCAGUGAAGGCUCAAUGCGCCCUUUGGCGUGGGUGGGACCACUCACUACAUUGGGGGGGGCCAGGACCACAUGGAGCCGGGUGCCAGUAUUGGACGUUGAGGUUAGUGCCCGGUUUUUUUGUGGGCCUAUCCAACAGUGAACGUUUCACUGUAAACCUGAAUCUAGGACAAGAAGGGAAAAUAAAAAAAAAA